GGCUAAAUAACAUAAUUGGUUAAUGUGUUAGAUUGCAAAUCUUAUAAUAUCGGUUCAAUUCCGAUUUUAGCCU
rnacentral:tRNA from 1 species